rnacentral:rRNA from 1 species
UGGGGAAUCUUGGACAAUGGGGGCAACCCUGAUCCAGCGAUGCCGCGUGGGUGAAGAAGGCCUUCGGGUUGUAAAGCCCUUUAGGCAGGGAAGAAGGGUAUGGGCUGAAUACGCCUGUACUUUGACGGUACCUGCAGAAUAAGCACCGGCAAACUCUGUGCCAGCAGCCGCGGUAAUACAGAGGGUGCGAGCGUUAAUCGGAUUUACUGGGCGUAAAGGGCGCGUAGGCGGUUGUGUGAGUGUGAUGUGAAAGCCCCGGGCUCAACCUGGGAAGUGCAUCGCAAACGACACGACUGGAGUAGAUGAGAGGGUGGCGGAAUUUCCAGUGUAGCGGUGAAAUGCGUAGAGAUUGGAAGGAACGUCAAUGGCGAAGGCAGCCACCUGGCAUCAUACUGACGCUGAGGCGCGAAAGCGUGGGGAGCGAACAGG